rnacentral:rRNA from 1 species
UACGAGGGAGGUCUAAGCGUUAACUCGGAAUUACUGGGCGUAAAGCGUGCGCAGGCGGUUAUGUAAGACAGAUGUGAAAUCCCCGGGCUCAACCUGGGAACUGCAUUUGUGACUGCAUAGCUAGAGUACGGUAGAGGGGGAUGGAAUUCCGCGUGUAGCAGUGAAAUGCGUAGAUAUGCGGAGGAACACCGAUGGCGAAGGCAAUCCCCUGGACCUGUACUGACGCUCAUGCACGAAAGCGUGGGGAGCAAACAGG